rnacentral:rRNA from 1 species
AGAGCACUGAAUGUCCUAGGGGGUAUUGCACCUACCGAAGACUAUCAAACUCCGAAUGCCGUCAUCUUAUACUUGGGAGUCAGACUGUGGGUGAUAAGAUUCAUAGUCGAAAGGGCAACAGCCCAGAUCGUCAGCUAAGGUCCCUAAAUGUAAGUUAAGUGGUAAAGGAUGUGGGAUUGCACAGACAACCAGGAUGUUGGCUUAGAAGCAGCCACUCAUUCAAAGAGUGCGUAAUAGCUCACUGGUCGAGUGAUCCUGCGCCGAAGAUUUCCGGGGCUAAAACUUACUACCGAAGCUACGGCAUCAGUAAUGAUGGGUAGGGGAGCUUCCCAUACGGGUUGAAGCAUGACCGUAAGGACAUGUGGACAGUAUGGGAGUGAGAAUGUUGGCAUGAGUAGCGAGAUGUGGGUGAGAAUCCCACAGGCCGUAAACCCAAGGUUUCCAGGGGAAGGUUCGUCCGCCCUGGGUUAGUCGGGACCUAAGCUGAGGCCGAAAGGCGUAGGUGAUGGACAACAGGUUGAUAUUCCUGUACUACCGAUAACCGUUUGAGAGAUGGGAUGACACAGUAGGAUAAGCUAAGCACACUGUUGGUUAUGUGUGCCCAAGCAUUGAGGCAGUCAAAGUAGGUAAAUCCGCUUUGAUAAUGCUGGGAUGUGAUGGGGAGCGAAAUUUAGUAGCGAAGUAGCUGAUUUCACACUGUCAAGAAAAGUCUCUAUCGAGGUUAAAGGUACCCGUACCGCAAACCGACACAGGUGGGUGAGGAGAGUAUCCUAAGGCCAGCGAGAGAACUGUUGUUAAGGAACUCGGCAAAAUGACCCCGUAACUUAGGGAUAAGGGGUGCCACCAUCAGGUGGCCGCAGAGAAUAGGCCCAAGCGACUGUUUACCAAAAACAUAGGUUUCUGCUAAGUCGCAAGACGAUGUAUAGGAGCUGACGCCUGCCCGGUGCUGGAAGGUUAAGGGGAUCUGUUAGAGCAAUCGAAGCAGUGAACUUAAGCCCCAGUAAACGGCGGCCGUAACUAUAACGGUCCUAAGGUAGCGAAAUUCCU